UUGAAUUUCACAUCCAUUUAAAUAUUACAACUAAAUUAGCAUUUUACAUUUCCAUUUCAAAUUUGUAUUUCAAUUUCAAUUUGCUACACAUUUCCAUUUAUAUUACAUUUGAAUUUGCAUUUCAUUUCUAAGAAACUAAAACUAACUCUAAACCACCACUAAACUAGCUUUUCAACUAAUUUUUGCUCCAAAAUUCAAUUAUAAAAGCAAUCAUCACCUUCACCAUGAGAAAAUAAUCACAAUUCACCAAUUUUCAUCUCCUAACAAACAUCACACUUCAGUAUCUCCUUCAUUUUCAUCUUCAUCACACCUUCAACUCCUUUCUUCAACCUAAGACAUCUUCAUCCAUCAAGUUACCAUCAUCAUCAUCAAUUCACAAGUCCACCACUCUUCUUAAAACCAUUUCUUCUUCAUAUUCAUCUUUACUCUCCAAACCUUCAUCUUCCAUAAUCACCAUCGACCUCCACCAUCACCAUUUCAUCUUGAAUCUUCAACUUCUCUUCAUUACCAUAUUCAAUCUUCAUAUUCAUCAACUUCUACAACUCCCUCCAUUAUCAUCAUCACCUUCAAGAAUUCAAUACCAAAACCAUAUUCACAAUAAAUCACAACAACAACAACAACAACAAGAAAUCGAAACAAGAAAAAGAAGCAAGAAACUGCCUUAGAUAUUUCAUCGAGUACGUGGUUAACAAAGCGUGAAAAGGUGAUAACGAUAACAACUCUCCGCUAAUUCACAAACCAAAAACUAAGCAUCAAUUGGAAACAACAACGAAUCAACACAACAACGAUUUUGGAAUAAAAAUCAAACUGAAAGAAGAAGAAGAAGAGAACUCACAAUAAAAAGAGAACUCACUGAUAAAACACAAGAACAACCGUGAAACACAACCACUGCCACUUCUGUUGUUACCUCAGAGCCCCGGCGCACCAUCUUCUAUGUCGGACCUUAUUGUUAUGCCAUAAAACACUAGAGCCACACCUUUCCUCGCCCAAAUUACGCCACCAUCGCAUUCGGUUUCGACAGUAAUCCCUUCUCGUUCUUUGUUUAUGAAUCAAUAUGUCAAUUGUUUAUUAGC
rnacentral:lncRNA from 1 species